rnacentral:rRNA from 1 species
UACGGGAGGCAGCAGUGGGGAAUAUUGCACAAUGGGCGAAAGCCUGAUGCAGCUAUGCCGCGUGUAUGAAGAAGGCCUUAGGGUUGUAAAGUACUUUCAUCGGGGAGGAAAAACAAAACUAAUAAUUUUAUUUCUUGACGUUACCCGAAAAAGAAGCACCGGCUAACUCCGUGCCAGCAGCCGCGGUAAUACGGAGGGUGCUAGCGUUAAUCAGAAUUACUGGGCGUAAAGAGCACGUAGGUGGUUUUUUUAAAGUCAGAUGUGAAAUCCCUGGGCUUAACCUAGGAACUGCAUUUUGAAACUGAAAUACUAGAGUAUCGUAGGGGGAGGUAGAAUUCUAGGUGUAGCGGUGAAAUGCGUAGAUAUCUGGAGGAAUACCUGUGGCGAAAGCGGCCUCCUAAACGAAUACUGACACUGAGGUGCGAAAGCGUGGGGAGCAAACAGGGAUUAGAUACC